rnacentral:tRNA from 1 species
UGCAGGUAUCGUAUAGUGGCUAUUACCUCAACCUUUUAGGUUGAUGAUGCAGGUUCGAUUCCUGUUCUCGUAA